UCGCAAGACCCAAGACAGAUGGACCUUGAGAAGCCCUGGAGAGUGAUCUGAGGCUACACUUGGGUCAGAUUCUGCUCAGUCUGUCAAUGGCUACUGCAGCUCCCACAUAAGAGUUUCCCUUCCGUCUACCAUGCCCCCAUUCUGAAAAACAAACAAGCAAGCAAACAACAGCAACACCCCCCAAAUACAAAGCCCCAAAUCCAAAAACCUCUUUACAAACACAAUAGCUAUUUUGCAAGCAAAAACUAGUUUUGCAUAAAGACUAACGCUUGGUUGCAGAAAAGAUACUUACUUUCCAGAAACUAUCUAGUGGUCUCCAAAGGUCUCAAAAGUAGUACUUUCAUUCUUGUUGAAGAGAGAAAAAAACUGAGACAGCUAUUGCAAUGACGUUUGAAAGCGGAGUCUCCUCUCAAUUACAGCUGGGCCAGGCUUGGGAGCAUUCGGACCCUGCCACGGUUUACAUUUCGAGGGACACUUUGUAGUACUUAAAUUCGAUAAAGUACGCUUUCCUGGCAGGUGCAGGCCUGGAGCAUCAGCUACAGAGAAGGCCAAGAGUGAACUAAGCAAGGAAUACGAAUUGAAAAGGACACUAGAAAUCGCACAGAGCAGCGGGCAUGGUGGCACACGCCUUUAAUCCCAGCACUCAGGAGACAGAGGCAGGUGGAUCUCUGUGAGCUCCAGGUCAGCCUGGUCUAUGCUGCAAGCUCCAGGAUCUAAGGGUCAUCAACUCCACUGGAAACCAAUAGAAACACAAAAAUCCAAUCCUUUGUCCCCAAACCAAAAACCAUUUUUGUCAGAUGGUGGUGGGUGACAGUUCCACGGAUAAGAGACGGUGUGGAUCCUGGGGGCAAUGUGUCUCUGCAUGACCAUUCUAGGUAGCUGCUUGUAGUCUUAUUGUGUCCUUUAAUGAAGUGAAGCCCCUUCACCUACAGUCAGAGAAGUCUUUUCCGUGGCAGGAACCCUGUAGGAUCUGGACAGACAAUGCCACGUGGUUGUAGGAUGGAAACGGGAGAUGAGAACAGAGAUAAUGAAAAGAAUUAAUGUCAGUCAUCUGCUGCUUGGCUCUCAACCCCAGUUUGUUUAUAUGACGGAUUAUAUUGUGUACACUCUUAGGAGGUGUGGCCUUGUUGGAGGAAGUGUGUCACCGUGGGGACAUGCUUUGAGGUCUUUUUUCUCAAGCUUCCUUCAGUGUGACUACCAGUCAACUUCCUGGUGCCUGCAAGAUGUAGGAUACUCGGCUAUUUCUCCAGCACCAUGUCUGCCUGCAUGCUGCUACGCUCCCAGCCAUGAUAAUGGGCUGAACCUCUGAACUCUAAGACACGACCACCAACUCCAUUCAAUGUUUUCCUUUAUAAGAGUGGCCAUGGUCAUGGUGUUUCUCCACAGCAAUAAAAACCCAAAUUAAGACAGGGCCCCUUUACUCACCCCGUCCCUGUCAGAACCUUAGUAAGUGGAUGUGUUUUUUCUCUGUCAGCUUCUGAUGUGUGGGUAUCUAUUUCUUCUGUAUGUAUAUGCAUAUGGCUCAUUCAAAAAAACACCUAUGUUUUAAAUUUGCUCUUUAUUUUCUGUGACCACUGAGUUCAGAUUGUAGAGGAGGAUAUCAAUGCACUAGUUUACCAUGCUAUUGUGGUCCUCAGACUCUACCUUUGGGGGUGACAAUAGCAACAGAUUCAGGAUGCUGCCUCUGAGACAUUACCCAUUAUUACUGUGUCUGCUAGGCCAAUUUUUCCUGUUUUCAAUAUGACAUGUUGUUCUCCUAAAAUGGCUCCAUGCCCAACAAAGCCCACUCAAUAUCGAUUAAUCCUCUCCUAAAUGACUUUAUUAAGGACCAUUAAUGAUUCACUUAGUAAGUGCUUUUGUAAUAAGUUCAUAAUGUCCUCUGAAGCAAUGGAUCCCGACAGGAGCCAGGCCCAUCUAGGAGGGAACAUGCUUAAAAUAAGUGAAGAGUUUUCAAAAGGUGGCUGGGGGAAUAGAUUACGUUUCUAUCUUGCAACAAGUUACAUCGAAAUUCUUUGUAGACAAUGAAAUAAAUUGCAGGGACUUCCUAUAGGUUAAGACUGUCAGUGAAGCCUUCAAAGAAUUUGUUUGUUUGGGCUCUGGGAGAGUUGCCAUGACAGGGUGCUGAGUCACAGCAGUGUGGGAAACAGGUAGGAUGGUGGAAAUUUGGAAUGUGGUUCUGCAGUAUGCAAAUCAAUACAGUCUAAAGACAAAUGGAUUAGGCAGAGUGUGUUGGACAGGUCCAGAGGCACUUCCAUUUCCACCAUGAAAAGUGUGCCUAUCAGUCAACUUCCUGGUGCCUACAAGAUAUAGGAUACUCGGCUAUUUCUCCAACACCAUGUCUACCUGCAUGCUGCUACGCUUCCAGCCAUGAUAAUGGACUGAACCUCUGAACUCUAAGCCACCACCACCAACUCAAUUCAAUGUUUUCCUUUAUAAGAGUGCCCAUGGUCAUGGUGUUUCUCCACAGCAAUAAAAACUUUACUCACCCAGCAGUCCCCAUGUCAUCUUCAGCUGGUGACUGUUCCAGAGCGACCUCUCUGGAGCCCUUAUAUGUUUUCU